ensembl:lncRNA novel transcript
GUAAUGAUGAAGCCCCUGCUCUGGUCCAAGCUACCUGUGAACAGCGCCCAGCGGGCCGGGCCCCCAACCUCGCUCCUGAACGUACCCGCAAGCCCGCCGUGAGAAUUCAGCGAAGAGUAAAGGCUGGAGAAAGUUGCGUGUCUCAGGCUAAGCAGAGCAAAGUGGGGUGAGGGCUUCGCCGCUAGGAACAGAGAUGCCCUUAGGGAGCCCCCUGAUGGAAGAGCUCUCUGCUUAAGAAGGUCAGCACGCCCUUACACUCAGGAGAUGUUGCUGAGAUGGGUGCAUUAAAGUUUAGGCUUUCCAGAGUUUAUAUUGCUAACGACUUGAAAGGAAAAAAGCUAACUAGAGAACUGACUGGUCUUAUUUGUUUUAGAUUUCGGGCUUUACUAAGACUUCCUACACUCAAUCUCUGGACUGUAAAUGCUGGG